rnacentral:rRNA from 1 species
UCCCCUAGUAGCGGCGAGCGAAGCGGGAAGAGCUCAAAUUUAUAAUCUGGCACUUUCAGUGUCCGAGUUGUAAUCUCUAGAAGUGUUUUCCGCGUUGGACCGCACACAAGUCUGUUGGAAUACAGCGGCACAGUGGUGACACCCCCGUACACGGUGCGGACGCCCAGCGCUUUGUGAUACACUUUCGAAGAGUCGAGUUGUUUGGGAAUGCAGCUCAAAUUGGGUGGUAAAUUCCAUCUAAAGCUAAAUAUUGGCGAGAGACCGAUAGCGAACAAGUACCGUGAGGGAAAGAUGAAAAGCACUUUGGAAAGAGAGUUAACAGUACGUGAAAUUGUUGGAAGGGAAACGCUUGAAGUCAGACUUGCUUGCCGGAGCUUGCUUCGGUUUGCAGGCCAGCAUCAGUUUUCCGGGGUGGAUAAUGGCGGUUAGAAGGUAGCAGCUUCAGCUGUGUUAUAGCUUUCCGCUGGAUACAUCCUGGGGGACUGAGGAACGCAGCGUGCUUUUAGCGGGGGUUUCGACCUCUUCACGCUUAGGAUGCUGGUGUAAUGGCUUUAAACGACCCGUCUUGAAACACGGACCAAGGAGUCUAACAUGCUUGCGAGUAUUUGGGUGUCAAACCCGGAUGCGUAAUGAAAGUGAAUGUAGGUGGGAACCGCAAGGUGCACCAUCGACCGAUCUGGAUUUUCUAAGAUGGAUUUGAGUAAGAGCACGUAUGUUGGGACCCGAAAGAUGGUGAACUAUGCCUGAAUAGGGCGAAGCCAGAGGAAACUCUGGUGGAGGCUCGUAGCGGUUCUGACGUGCAAAUCGAUCGUCAAAUUUGGGUAUAGGGG